AACGAACGCUGGCGGCAUGCCUAACACAUGCAAGUCGAACGAAACCUUCGGGUCUAUUGUCGCACGGGUUCGUAACGCGUGGGAACCUUCCCUUAUGUUCGGCCUAACUCCCCGACUGGGGUGCUAAUACCGGAUAAUGUCUUCUGACCAAUGAUUUAUUGCCUUUGGUUGUGCCCGCGUUGGAUUAGCUAGUUGUUAAGGUAAUGGCCUACCAAGGCAACGAUGCAUAGCUUGUGUGAGAGGAUGAUCAGCCACACUGGGAAGGAGACACGGCCAAGAAGCCGAAGGGAGGAAGCAGUAGGGAAUAGUACGCAAGGGGGGAAAGCGUGAAGGAGAAACGACGCGUGAGUGAGGAAGGUAUUCGGAGCGUAAAAAUCUGUUAGUAGGGAAGAACAUAUGUGGAAGUAACGGGGCAAAGCGUGAAGGGACCUAAUCAGAAAGCCACGGCUAACUACGUG
rnacentral:rRNA from 1 species